rnacentral:ncRNA from 1 species
GCUAAAGCGUAGAUGAGGAAAAGUAGAAAAGUGAUGCUUGAAAGAGAGAACCAUCAUCGGCUGAAAGUGGUUUAAGCCUCUCAUUUUUCGAAAUGCACCUCAGAGUCUCAAACCGAAAGUGAGAAAUCAUGAGUAGAUUUGGGCGGAACCUUUCCGUUAACAAGAAAGAGUGAGGCUAUGAAAGCUGGGUACACCCAAUUUAUAAAAGAUAGGUGUACAUAGAUAUAGCCUAAUCAGAGUGGAACCACGCACUAAGCGUCUCUGUC